AUUGAUCCCGUCGGACCCCACUGCUAUCGAGAUGGGACUAAGGUAUGCUAGUCGAACGACCAGAACUAUGUCUGGAAGUGGCACACUGCUCAGUAACACGUAGCUAACCUACCCUUAGGACGUGGAUACCCCCGAGAAAUUGGGGUUAAUCCGCGAUAGAUGUAAUGUCCUGGAAUGGUAUUACGUCUAAAGGUAUUUCAUACAUGUUUGAAAUAUGCCUAAGGAUGGGGCUGCGGCCGAUCAGGCUGUUGGUGAGGUAAUGGCUCACCAAACCUUUGACCGGUACGGGCCAUGAGAGUGGUAGCCCGGAGAUGGACACUGAGACAAGGGUCCAGGCCCUAAGGGGCGCAGCAACCGCGAAACCUCCACAAUGCACUCACGUGCGAUGGGGCUAUCUCGAGUGCCACCUGAUGAAGGUGGCUUUUCCUAGGUCUUCAAAGCCUUGGGAAUAAGAGGGGGGCAAGACUGGUGUCAGCCGCCGCGGUAACACCAGCCCCUCGAGUGGUGGGGAUGAUUAUUUGGCCUAAAGCGUCCGUAGCCGGCCGAGCAAGUCUUCCGUUAAAUCCAGCGUCUCAAGCGUUGGACCGCGGGAGAUACUACACGGCUAGAGAGUGGGAGAGGUCAGCGGUAUUCUGGGGGUAGGGGCGAAAUCCUUUGAUCCCCGGAGGACCACCAGUGGCGAAGGCUGCUGACUAGAACACGUCUGACGGUCAGGGACGAAAGCUGGGGUAGCGAACCGGAUUAGAUACCCGGUAGUCCCAGCCGUAAACGAUGCAUGCUAGGUGUUGGGUUGGCCACGAGCCACCCCAGUGCCGCAGGGAAGCCGUUAAGCAUGCCGCCUGGGAAGUACGAUCGCAAGAUUGAAACUUAAAGGAAUUGGCGGGGGAGCACCACCAGGCGUGAAGCCUGCGGUUUAAUUGGAGUCAACGCCGUGAACCUUACCGGGAGCGACAGCAGAAUGAAGGCCAGAUUGAAGAUCUUGCCAGACGAGCUGAGAGGAGGUGCAUGGCCGUCGCCAGUUCGUGCCGUGAGGUGUUCUCUUAAGUGAGAUAACGAACGAGACCCGUGCCACAUGUUGCCACCAGUAUCUAAAGGAUAGCUGAGCACUCUUGUGGGACCGCAGCCGAUAAGGCUGAGGAAGGUACGGGCAACGGCAGGUCAGUAUGCCCCGAAUCUCCCGGGCCACACGCGGGCUGCAAUGGUACAGACAGAGGGCUGCCACCCCGAAAGGGGGAGCCAAUCCCUAAACUGUACCUCAGUUGGGAUCGAGGGUUGCAACCCACCCUCGUGAACAUGGAAUGCCUAGUAACCGCCAGUCAUCAUCUGGCGGUGAAUACGUCCCUGCUCCUUGCACACACUGCCCGUCGAACC
rnacentral:rRNA from 1 species